rnacentral:misc_RNA from 1 species
UUUCCGUAGGUGAACCUGCGGAAGGAUCAUUACAGAGUUCAUGCCCUCACGGGUAGAUCUCCCACCCUUGAAUACUUAUACCUUAGUUGCUUUGGCAGGCCGUGGAAACACCAUGGGCUCCGGCUUAUGCGUGCCUGCCAGAGGAAACAAACUCUGUUUUUAGUGAUGUCUGAGUACUAUAUAAUAGUUAAAACUUUCAACAACGGAUCUCUUGGUUCUG